GAGAGUGACUUAAAACACUAAUCCUCACUCUUUUGGAUACGCUUCUCAUUCAUGCUGCCAAUGCGGCCCACCAGAAAAUCAUAAAAAAAUCAAAACGCGAAAACUCGGUGAAUGCCGUGUAGAACAUAAAGCUCCACUCCACGCGUGUUAAUCGUUACUUUACCUUCAAGGGGAACGAAGGUGGCGUUUGCGCGUGCCCGCGGACCGCAAGGCUCGGUGACCUUGGAGGAGAAAGAUGCCGCUGCUCUCUCUGCCUGACUGAUGAGACCACCGAAGGAAGAAGCUCUUUCCACACCUUGAUGUUUACCUCUGCUGUCAGCUUGUUUCCACAAGGCUGGCGAAGGAAGGACCCAGCUGCUUGCGGUCAGGGAGCGACUGGAGCUUCUGAGGAGGCGGGGUUGAAAGCGGCGUCGGAAGAGGAGGCCAUGAGGAAGCAAUCCAUGUGAAUGCUCUCCAAAAUCCUGCAAAAGUCCACAGGGAUCUAAUCAAUCACUACAAACAGGCAAAAGGACUCCAGCAUGCCAUUCCUGCCCCGGAUUCCUGCUGGGAUGAUGUUGUCUGUUUGGUUUUUUUUCCCUGCAGAGAGAGGUUAGCUCAGUGAAAUGCUUAACGAAUGUAUUAUUCCACCCAUAACUUGCCACACAUGUCAAGACGAUAAUUAACGUAAUUAACGGAAGUGUUCCUCUCACAAAGGUUGCGUAUGUCAUUGAAUUAAAAAAAAAAAAAAAAAAAAGCAUAACAGAAGGAAAUGACAGUGAGUGCAGUCGAUACAUUGUUUCAAACCCCAGUAGCACAAUCCAAAUGUAUUGAUAAAUUUACAAAUAACUGGAGCAUGAGAAAAAUGCUGCAAGGUGUGUACUUCACUUCCCA